UACGUAGGGUGCGAGCGUUAAUCGGAAUUACUGGGCGUAAAGCGUGCGCAGGCGGUUCGUUGUGUCGGCGGUGAAAGCCCCGGGCUCAACCUGGGAAUGGCCGUUGAAACUGGCGAACUGGAGUGUGGCAGAGGGGGGUGGAAUUCCGCGUGUAGCAGUGAAAUGCGUAGAGAUGCGGAGGAACACCGAUGGCGAAGGCAGCCCCCUGGACAACACCUGACACUGAGGCACGAAAGCUAGGGGAGCAAACAGG
rnacentral:rRNA from 1 species